rnacentral:rRNA from 1 species
UGGGAACGUACCCUUCGGUUCGGAAUAACCCGGGGAAACUCGGGCUAAUACCGGAUACGUCCGCAAGGAGAAAGAUUUAUCGCCAUUGGAUGGGCCCGCGUCGGAUUAGCUAGUUGGUGGGGUAACGGCCCACCAAGGCGACGAUCCGUAGCUGGUCUGAGAGGACGAACAGCCACACUGGGACUGAGAUACGGUCCAGACUCCUACGGGAGGCAG